rnacentral:tRNA from 1 species
GCCGAAGUAGCUCAGCUGGUAGAGCAACGCAUUCGUAACGCGUAGGUCGCCGGUUCAAAUCCGGCCUUCGGCUCCA